rnacentral:rRNA from 1 species
GACGAACGCUGGCGGCGUGCUUAACACAUGCAAGUCGAACGGAAAGGCUCCAGCUUGCUGGAGUACUCGAGUGGCGAACGGGGGAGUAACACGUGGGUGAUCUGCCCUGCACUUCGGGAUAAGCCUGGGAAACUGGGUCUAAUACCGGAUAGGACCGCACUUUGGGGUGUGUGGUGGAAAGGUUUUUCUUGUGUGGGAUGAGCUGGCGGCCUAUCAGUUUGUUGGUGGGGUAAUGGCCUACCAAGACGGCGACGGGUAGCCGGCCUGAGGGGGUGGACGGGCACCCUGGGACUGACAUACGGCCCAGACUCCUACGGGAGGCCGCAGUGGGGAAUCUUGCACCAUGGGGGACACCCUGAUGCAGCGACGCCGCGUGGGGGAGGAAGGCCUUCGGGUUGUAAACACCUUUCGCUAGGGACGAAGCUUUUUGUGACGGUACCUGGAGAAGAAGCACCGGCUAACUACGUG